UAGAGAAUUCCAAAAAAGGGAGCUCUUAAUUCCUGUUCAAGUGCAAAGCGCAGAUGGAUAUAUUUAUCUGCUGGAUAUCUGCGAUUUGAAAAUUAAGAGAGAAGAUGAAUGGGACAAAGCAAAUCAGUUUUAUUAUCAAGAUCACCUCCAAAAUUUAGGACAAGAUGGAACAGAGUAUAUUGAAGCGAAGAUCAGACAUGGAGAAAAGAUUGACGUAACAGAAAUACAGAUUCAUUUGUGGCAUGGAGAUGCAUCAACGAGUUGGGAAACAUCCUUUAAUCCAUCUCUUUUCUUUAUACUAAUGGAUGACAAGGAAGAAUACCUUGGAGAUAUCAUAUCCUUUUC